rnacentral:rRNA from 1 species
CCUACGGGUGGCAGCAGUGAGGAAUAUUGGUCAAUGGGCGCGAGCCUGAACCAGCCAAGUAGCGUGACGGAUGACUGCCCUACGGGUUUUAAACUUCUUUUAUAAAGGAAUAAAGUGAGGCACGUGUGCCUUUUUGUAUGUACUUUAUGAAUAAUGAUCGGCUAACUCCGUGCAAGCAGCCGCGGUAAUACGGAGGAUCCGAGCGUUAUCCGUAUGUAUUGGGUUUAAAGGGAGCGUAGAUGGGUUGUUAAGUCAGUUGUGAAAGUUUGCGGCUCAACCGUAAAAUUGCAAUUGAUACUGGCAGUCUUGAGUACAGGUGAGGUAGGCGGAAUGCGUGGUGUAGCGGUGAAAUGCUUAGAGAUCACGAAGAACUCCGAUUGCGAAGGCAGCUUACUAAACUGUCACUGACAUUGAUGCUCGAAAGUGUGGGUAUCAAACAGGAUUAGAUACCCCAGUAGUC